GCCGGCCAGUUCCAUGUAGCGGCAGAUUUAUCAGGUACGUUGGAUGCAAAGUGGACGGGUGAAAAUGGUCCUGUACUUGUUGAACUGAGCAUACCGAAUACGUCUGCAAGUGCAGUGUCAGUUCCAUAUGAUUUAGAACAGCCAAGGCCUGAUGAGACCCAAUCUAUUCUCUCUCCGUUUACUCCUAGGGAUGGAGAUAGUGUUGAGGACUUUUCAAGAUGGUUUGCAAUGCCGUUCCAGAAUUUCUAUCGCCU
rnacentral:misc_RNA from 1 species